UAGGGAAUAUUGCGCAAUGGGGGGAACCCUGACGCAGCCAUGCCGCGUGAAUGAAGAAGGCCUUCGGGUUGUAAAGUUCUUUCGGUAUUGAGGAAGGUUGAUGUGUUAAUAGCACAUCAAAUUGACGUUAAAUACAGAAGAAGCACCGGCUAACUCCGUGCCAGCAGCCGCGGUAAUACGGAGGGUGCGAGCGUUAAUCGGAAUAACUGGGCGUAAAGGGCACGCAGGCGGUUAUUUAAGUGAGGUGUGAAAGCCCUGGGCUUAACCUAGGAAUUGCAUUUCAGACUGGGUAACUAGAGUACUUUAGGGAGGGGUAGAAUUCCACGUGUAGCGGUGAAAUGCGUAGAGAUGUGGAGGAAUACCGAAGGCGAAGGCAGCCCCUUGGGAAUGUACUGACGCUCAUGUGCGAAAGCGUGGGGAGCAAACAGGAUUAGAUACCCUGGUAGUCCACGCUGUAAACGCUGUCGAUUUGGGGGUUGGGGUUUAACUCUGGCGCCCGUAGCUAACGUGAUAAAUCGACCGCCUGGGGAGUACGGCCGCAAGGUUA
rnacentral:rRNA from 1 species